GGGCCCGCACAAGCGGUGGAGUAUGUGGUUUAAUUCGAUGCAACGCGAAGAACCUUACCAGGGUUUGACAUCCUGCGAAUCUCUUGGAAACGAGAGAGUGCCUUCGGGAACGCAGUGACAGGUGGUGCAUGGCUGUCGUCAGCUCGUGUCGUGAGAUGUUGGGUUAAGUCCCGCAACGAGCGCAACCCACGUCUUUAGUUGCCAGCAGUUCGGCUGGGCACUCUAUGGAAACUGCCCGUGAUAAGCGGGAGGAAGGUGGGGACGACGUCAGGUCAGUAUGGCCCUUACGCCUAGGGCUGCACACGUACUACAAUGCCCAGCACAAUGAGAACCGAGACCGCAAGGUGGAGGAAAUCUGCAAAACUGGGCCCAGUUCGGAUUGGAGGCUGCAACUCGCCUCCAUGAAGUCGGAAUCGCUAGUAAUGCCGUAUC
rnacentral:rRNA from 1 species